rnacentral:lncRNA from 1 species
UAAGGCACCAUCUUGAGGACCUCCGUGAUAUCCUCCUCCUGUUCGAAAUCGAACGGGAACCUCCCCAGACCAAGAUCUGUACCCACCACACGGCCCUCCAUGUUCCAAAUCCUCGGAAACACAAACAAGAGAACCUUCAUAUCUUGUUUAGGACGGUUCAUACACCUUCCGAUGAGGGUUCGUGCAUAGCGCGCAAUGAUCUCCGAGUU